rnacentral:rRNA from 1 species
GACAGAGGUGCCGAGCGUUAGGCGGAAUCACUGGGCUUAAAGCGUGUGUAGGCGGCUCGUUAAGUACCUUGUGAAAUCCCACGGCUCAACCGUGGAACUGCUGGGUAUACUGGCGGUCUUGAGCCACCUAGGGGCGAGCGGAACAAGCGGUGGAGCGGUGAAAUGCGUAGAUAUCGCUUGGAACGCCGACGGUGAAAACAGUCUGCUGGGGGUUUGCUGACGCUGAGACACGAAAGCCAGGGGAGCGAACGGG